GGUCCCAUGGUCUAGUGAUUAGGACAUUGGAUACUGAAUCCAGUAACCCGAGUUCAAAUCUAAGUGGGACCU
rnacentral:tRNA from 1 species